rnacentral:tRNA from 1 species
GCGCCCGUGGCCUAAUGGAUAAGGCGUUUGACUUCUAAUUGUGGGUUCGAGUUCCACCGGGCGUG